AUACCUUUCUCGGCCUUUUGGCUAAGAUCAAGUGUAGUAUCUGUUCUUAUCAGUUUAAUAUCUGAUAUGUGGGCCAUGUGCCCACAACGAUAUUAAAUUUAUUUUUUGUGGGGGAGGGCUCACCACAGUGGCUUGCCACUGGGGCCCUCAGGUGUCGCCCAGUGCGUUGCACUAUUGCCUGGGCAGGCGCACCCCAA
rnacentral:snRNA from 1 species